CAGUCGCCGCGGGAAUACAGAGGGUGCGAGCGUUAAUUGGAUUUACUGGGCGUAAAGCGUGCGUAGGCGGCUUUUUAAGUCGGAUGUGAAAUCCCUGAGCUUAACUUAGGAAUUGCAUUCGAUACUGGGAAGCUAGAGUAUGGGAGAGGAUGGUAGAAUUCCAGGUGUAGCGGUGAAAUGCGUAGAGAUCUGGAGGAAUACCGAUGGCGAAGGCAGCCAUCUGGCCUAAUACUGACGCUGAGGUACGAAAGCAUGGGGAGCAAACAGGAUUAGAUACCCCAGUAGUCCCUGUCUCUUAUAC
rnacentral:rRNA from 1 species